AUACAUGCAAGUCGAACGAACUCUGGUAUUGAUUGGUGCUUGCAUCAUGAUUUACAUUUGAGUGAGUGGCGAACUGGUGAGUAACACGUGGGAAACCUGCCCAGAAGCGGGGGAUAACACCUGGAAACAGAUGCUAAUACCGCAUAACAACUUGGACCGCAUGGUCCGAGUUUGAAAGAUGGCUUCGGCUAUCACUUUUGGAUGGUCCCGCGGCGUAUUAGCUAGAUGGUGGGGUAACGGCUCACCAUGGCAAUGAUACGUAGCCGACCUGAGAGGGUAAUCGGCCACAUUGGGACUGAGACACGGCCCAAACUCCUACGGGAGGCAGCAGUAGGGAAUCUUCCACAAUGGACGAAAGUCUGAUGGAGCAACGCCGCGUGAGUGAAGAAGGGUUUCGGCUCGUAAAACUCUGUUGUUAAAGAAGAACAUAUCUGAGAGUAACUGUUCAGGUAUUGACGGUAUUUAACCAGAAAGCCACGGCUAACUACGUGCCAGCAGCCGCGGUAAUACGUAGGUGGCAAGCGUUGUCCGGAUUUAUUGGGCGUAAAGCGAGCGCAGGCGGUUUUUUAAGUCUGAUGUGAAAGCCUUCGGCUCAACCGAAGAAGUGCAUCGGAAACUGGGAAACUUGAGUGCAGAAGAGGACAGUGGAACUCCAUGUGUAGCGGUGAAAUGCGUAGAUAUAUGGAAGAACACCAGUGGCGAAAGCGGCUGUCUGGUCUGUAACUGACGCUGAGGCUCGAAAGUAUGGGUAGCAAACAGGAUUAGAUACCCUGGUAGUCCAUACCGUAAACGAUGAAUGCUAAGUGUUGGAGGGUUUCCGCCCUUCAGUGCUGCAGCUAACGCAUUAAGCAUUCCGCCUGGGGAGUACGGCCGCAAGGCUGAAACUCAAGAGAAUUGACGGGGGCCCGCACAAGCGGUGGAGCAUGUGGUUUAAUUCGAAGCUACGCGAAGAGCCUUACCAGGUUCUGACAUACUAUGCAAAUCUAAGAGAAUAGACGUUACCUUCAGGGACAUGAAUACAGGUGGUGCAUGAUUGUCGUCAGCUCAGGUCGUGCCAUGCUGGCUAAGUCCCGCUACGAGCGCAACCAUUAUUAUCAGUUGCCAGCAUU
rnacentral:rRNA from 2 species